GUUGGCUCACCUGCCCCACUGUCCUUGUGCAAUGAAGUUCUCAGGGAAUGUCAAAGCCGCAGGGGGAGGAGCAUUUGGGGUGAAGUGGGCAGAGCACAGGCUUGGGCGUCAGGAGACCUGAGUUCUAGCCCCAGCCUCCUCCCCAGUUGUUGGAUGACCUCAGACAAAUCUCUGAGCCUCAGCUGUCUACUCAUUCUGAGGGGGGUUGGAUGAAAUUAUUCUGGAAAUAUAAUAAUGAAUGUCAGUUCAGCCCUGACACACCUCUUUUUUCUGUGUGUGUGUUGGGCUCCUGCUAGAGGGGAGGUGGGGAGCAGAGGCUUUGUUGGGGGUGAGAGAACAGAGAGCCCGCUGCCCCUUGGUCCCUCUCAGGGGCCUACAAGCCAGGGUUUCCCUCUCAUUCUCCAGGGGAUGGACUGGACUGCACAUCUUGGAGCACAGGUGAGAGCAGUGGCUAAACUUCUGGCCUGACAAACACGUAACACACCAUUGGUGGUAAGAACAGUUUCUGUGUUUUAGUGUUUUCUCUGUUCCAGAUCCUGUACUAAAUAUGUUAUAUGUAUUGUCUUAUUUAUUUUUCAUUAGAACUCUCUCAGAUGGGUAGUAUACACAUCUUUAAUUUUGUUAAGAGAUUGAAGCCAUGAAAGCUUCACUUAAUCACCCAAAGACACACAGAAGAAAGCCCACCAGGGCUGUUCCCAAAUGUGUAUGGAGUUGUGAAUCCCUGCAGCAGAAGGAGAUGUGCAGCUCAGACCCCUUUCAAGAAGCAACUCGCCACCCAGCUUCGAGGAGUGUGCUAGCUGAUCACGGACAGUGAGCGCUUCUCAGCCACAACCUGGAUAUUGAAUAAGGUAGGAGGAUGAGUAACCUUUCAAAGAAAGGCUUUAUGAUCAUUUCGUCUGACCUGAACCAGACAUCAUGUUCACGGCGGGAAUUCCAGGGGAACAGAAUUUCUCAAGCCAAAGUGUAGAAUCAAAGAUAAUGCAGAUCUGGGGAGAAGAUGAGAAGAAGUCAACUAUGAACUGAUGCUCCGCAAAUUGCCAAGUGAGCCAUUGUCAUGAGUGUCCUGCCUCAUUCUGGUGUCCUCUCAAUGAUCUCUCUGCUCUUCUUUUGCCAAUUUACUCCUCACCAGGCAGAGACCUUUGCUUAGAGUCUUGGAGUCUUUCUCAAGCAAGGUGGGUCUUGAGAGCUCAAGCCACCCAUUUUACAAUAACCGAGACAGAGACCCAUGUUGGAUGGAACUUGCCCCAAAUCAACAGUGGGAAACCAGUCUCAUGGGGAAAAAAAAUAGGAAUUGUGUUUACUUUAGUUUGCAUUUCUUUAAUUAUAG